rnacentral:lncRNA from 1 species
AGAAGUAGUUUCUUCAAGAGUUUCAUAAGAAGGAAUUUUAUUAAAUUGAUUUAGUAUAAUUUUAUCUAAUUCUUCUAAGAAUUUUUUUUUUCAUUGUAUUUUAGAGAGGUCAGGUGUUGGAGGUAUCUCAGUUAGAUCUAGAUGAUCUUCUUCAGUAAUUUUUUCAAUAAUUUCAUCAUGAUUUUUGAUUGAUAUCUUCAACUGACUGAUGCCUGAACUUGACUCAGAAGAUUCU